GGAGGGCUUUGUUUUCCUCCCUGCCGCCAAGGCGAGAGAAAGCGAGAAGAGUGAGCCUUCACGAGUUGCGCUGCUGGAAUCCGGAUAUGAUGAAAAUGUUUUAGACCUGAAGUGUCCCGAGUAAACUUACCGCAGCUGCGCGCCGAAAGAGUCAACAGAGGAUCAUGUUUUCGACUUUUGUACGUCAAAAACCAUCUGGAAUAUCUUGGACUACGAACGUCGAACAGUUAGAGUAGGGGUAAAACUGUCGGGUGUGAAGUUGUCUUGUUUUAUUUUUCCUCCUAACGUUUUGAGGAACGAGUUGAAGGAGGGAAAGAAGGAUGGGAAUAAGUCACAUUUGAACUCAAGUGAGAGAGUUGUCAUGUUUGAAAGGACUGAGGGCUGAGGAAAAGAAGGGAGGAACUACUUCUGCUGGUGGUGGUUUAUAAUUUUUUUUCUCCCUUCGAAGAGGACGACUGCCUCAUGUCCAAGGAGACUGUCCAUCCAUCAGAAGGGCCGGCGGGUCCAGGACAGGGCCCACGGCAAGAGACAAGUCCCCUGCUGUUAGCGUCACACGAUGCUUGUGACUGUGAAUCAACAGGAAGCGCGUCUUCUCCUAGGAAACAAUCCGCUGAAGGACAAAGUCUCGUGACGGAGGAGAAGCCUAAUUAUUGCAAGCCUGUGAGGAGUAAGUCUUAAUGACCCGGGAAAACUGUGGGCAAACAGCAGUACAUCGUUGUGCUAUUUUUUUCCUCUCUCUAAAUAAUAAACAAUGAGGAAUUUAAUUGCAGAAAGUGAAAGUGAUUAACAUGUCGGAUCAGCCUAACUUCUGCAAGUGAUUUUUUAUUUAUUUUUUUAUUCAACAUUUGAAACUGCUUUAAUUUUACUCAGAUUUUUUUUCUAAUGCCAAUAUUCUCACCUUAUAGGAAAAGCUAUUGUUAUGCUGUUCCUGUGUUAGGGUCAGUUGGCCAUCUGAAAUAUUAGCUUCACUGUUUCCAAUUACAGUAAUAGCCAGAUAGCAGCUCGGCCUCUUGGCAAGUGAGUAUAACAUGCCUGCUGUCUUAUUCUGACGUUAUGACCAAGACUUGGCUCAGUCGGCCAUUUUUGCUUCUUUCAAAUCCUCAGCCAUGUGUUUUGCAAGAAGGGAAAUCCAGUUUGUGGUAUUGGCCGUCCUCAUGUACCGAUUGAGUCCUACUUGUAGUUUCUUUAACCUGGUGCCAACGUUUGCCUCUUCACAGGAUGUUAUUGCAGACUGGGAAAGAGUGUAUUUUAGUUGAAGUAGCAUCCAGGUUUGCAACAUGUGGGGGGUGGGGAAAUAGACUUGUCUGGUCCAUCAAUCAUCUACCUAUCAUCCAUAAAUGAUAGGUCAUCCGUCCAUUCCUAUGUCUGUCCAUCAACAUCUCUAACUGUACAUUAGUCCAUCCAACUACCUUCUGUCAAUCUGUCUGGACGUCUUCUUGUCUUCUUAUAUAUUCGUGUGUCUCUUAUGUUGGUCUGUUGUAUGCUCACCUUUUCUUCCGUCCGUCCAUCAACAAACUGCUUGUCAAUCAUCCGUCAACCGUGCAGCCAACAGCUCGACAGUUUCGCCGCUUGUCCGGUGUAAAUUCAGGGUGAACUUUUAAUUACAUGAUUCAGAAAUGGACAAAACUGGAACGCGUCAGACCUUUAAUUGAGUAAAGGUUUGUGAACUUCUGGAGGCAUCUUCCUAGUUAGAAUCAACAAGUCUCCAAUAAUAAAAACCUUUCAACCGUUGCUACUGCGUACUUUGUGGCAUUUCUUCUGGUUCAGGCUGGAAACUUUCUCGUGACUCUGAUCUAAUCAUAUUGUUUUAUGCAAAUGUAGAGCACAGCAAGGCUCUGCUAAACAGCAAUUUGCCAUUGAUUUAGAAGCAAUUCUAAUUAAACCUAGUUGCACAGUAAUUCCACUCCUUACAAAGAUAUAGAUUGCAGGUCACAGAGUGAAACGCGACUAAAAGGCUUUGUGUAUGCGUGCUUCAUUGUUCCUGAGAGGAGUGAGAUGUGACAACAUGGGCUAAUGGCAGCUGAUUGCUGCUGUAAUAAGGAUCGUGUUUUCAUUUAACACCAUUCUUGACUAC